GCUCAGCGACUCAUCCUCCCAGUGCCGCACCGAGCACCUUCAACCCUGCAGCUGGAACGUUUUUUCAAAAACGGAAUUUCGAAAGCAUACUGACGUGGGAGAAAUGUCUGUCCAGACUGCAGUCAGUGUGCUACUUGCU